UCGGAUAUGGUGUAACGGCUAACAUUAGCGCCUCUCACGCGCUAGCUCGGGGUUCGAUUCCCCGCAUCCGAA